ensembl:lncRNA
AACAAGUAUUGCUCCUAAUUAGACCAACUGAAAGCAGCACUUGAUGGAAAGCACCCAGAAAUAGUCAACAGAAAACACAUAAUCUUUUAUCAGGAUAAUGAUAUCAUAGGACCAUGUGUUUCUUUGGUGACAGGCAGAAAUCGUUACAGCUUGGCUGGGUAGUUCUGAUUCAUCCACCGUAUUCACCAGACACUGCACCUUCAGACUGCUCUUUAUUUCAGUCUUCACAAAAUUCUCUUAAUGCAGAGUAUUUCAAUUCCCUGGAAGACUGUAAAAGGAACCUGGAAUAGUUCUUUGCUCAAAAAGAUCAAAUGUCUUGGAAAGAUGGAAUUCUAAAGUUGCCUGGAAAAUGACAGAAGGUAGCGGAACAAAAUGGUGAAUACGUUGGUCAAUUAAAUUCUUGGUGAAAAUGAAAAAUGUGUCUUUUAUUUUUACUUGAAAAACAAGGAACUUUCCGGCCAGCCCAUAGAAGCCGCGCGGCGGCUCCUCCCAAGCGGUAGGUCUUGUGUCAAUCAUGCCCGGAGGCUCCACCCCAGAGGAGGAGGAGCCAGAGGAGCCAGGAGCCACCCGCUGGCUUUGAGAACCUGUCCCAUUCUCGCCUUCGCCCCCACAAGGCUUCUGGACCAAAGAAGUGAGCUGUCAAGGAGCUUGUGCACAGAUUCAAGACUCACUUUCCACCAUGUGAUAUUAAUAAGGCUCAGAUUACAAGGCAGGACUUUUAGGACUAGUGAACCCACAGCAAGAGCUCUGUAAGUUGAAAAUAACUGAUGGCAAUGCAAAAUAACUGUUGUCUGCUGACAUGGAAAUGAUUCCUUCCAUUGAUGGACAACACCUACCCCUCCAUCCUAUGCAAAAGCCAAUUUUGUAUCCGUUUGCAUAUUCACUUCAACAUUCCUUACUCCAUAAGAAUUUGUGCUUCUUUGCCUUCUCCCUUGAACCAGUUGCUUAUCUCUUUGGUUUACUCAGUGAGUUAAAUAAAAUCUUUACCUUGUAUUC